rnacentral:rRNA from 1 species
CACACCGCCCGUCACACCAUCGGGAGUAGGGGUUCACCAGAAGCGAGGUUGCCUAACCGCAAGGAGGGCGCCUACCACGGUGAGUCGUUACAUGACUGGGGUG